UACGUAGGGGGCUAGCGUUGUCCGGAAUCAUUGGGCGUAAAGCGCGCGUAGGCGGCCCGGUAAGUCCGCUCUGAAAGUCCAGGGCUCAACCUGGAAAGCGGGUGGAUACUGCCGGGCUAGAAUCCGGAAGAGGCGAGUGGAAUUCCUGGUGUAGCGGUGGAAUGCGCAGAUAUCAGGAGGAACACCAUAGCGAAGGCAGCUCGCUGGGACGGAUGACGCUGAGGCGCGAAGCGUGGGAGCAAACAGGAUAGAUACCCGA
rnacentral:rRNA from 1 species